GCCAUGAGCUCGGUCAGCAACACUCUCUGAUGUGAUGCUGUGAGCAUCUAAGAAUCACAGACUGCUCCAUUGGGUAUGUCACUUCCAAGUCCACGCAUGUCUGGAAAUUGGAAAAUGGGAGUCAAAAUGGGAUACAAACACGGACAAAUCUAUGCCUUGCCUUGGACUGCUUACAUUUUUUCCCCUCAUUUUGCCGAAUGGUGUGCAGAUUCAGAGGAAAGGACAGCUAAGACUAAAGUGCUUGUGAAGUUAAGCCUGACAGAUUGGGAUAACAUCAAAGACCUGAACACCUACAACACAAGAAACCUUAUAAAUACUGCAACUCCAGAGAUCUAGAUUGUGCAAAAAUCACAAACAUGAGCAGCAAGUCAAUAUGCCUCCUUCAGAAGCCAGCACCACUAUUGUAAAAUUCUCUAAGAAAAGAAUU